AUGGAGCUCUGCUGGAAUAUCAAAGUGAUGAUAAAAAUCCUGCUGAUGGCUCUGAACUGUGGAGGUUCCUCAGGCGACGCCAUAAACACGCUGAGCGUGCUCGUGUCCACAGAUGCAACUCUCAGCUGCUCCUUCGACAGAACGUCUACGCCGGCGGACUGGCGCUCUCUCACCAUAGAGUGGAACAUGGUGGAUAAACACUCAGUCAAGCGCAUCGUGUAUACUUUUGUGGACGGACGUGCGCAUGUGAACAGAGAUGGUUGUGAGGUGGAUAAAAUGGGGCUUCUGCAAAGCAACGCAUCUCUGAAGCUUCGCAAUGUGACUGUGGCAGAUGAAGGCCUGUACACAUGUAGGAUCAUCAUAACACCUACGGUCUACACCGAAACCACGUCACUGGAAGUGCUGGCUCGACCUUUGGUGUUGCUCCCAGAAAAGGCAACAUUGACAGAAGUGGAGGAGAAGACCAUACAGUGUGAUAUUUCGGGUUACUACCCAGAGAAACUGGCUGUAACAUGGCACAUCCGAAAUGGCUCCCAUAUGACUCACGCUGGUGCAAACCCUCACACGAGAGUCUGCACGGAAAUGGCCGUUCACAACUCAGAUGGCACCUACAGCAUUCGUAGUGGCAUCACGGUGCAUUUGUCAGCUGUGAAAGACAAGGAAAUACAAGUAAUCUGCCAGGUUGCACACCAAACCUACACAAGACCAUACAGUAAAUCUGUUACACUAACUCUUCAAGCUCCAUUGCAGCCUGUUUACAGCAUUGCCACAUUGGUAUCUGUUACCAGUGUCACCAUUUUGGUGUUGGUCAUCUCUGUUGUUGGAGGCUCAUUGCUUCUCUUUAGACAUUUCUACAGAGGCCUGCCCAGCAUCUCUGAAAUCAUCCAGCCCACCAUUGUACAUGCCGGGGUGCCAGCUGAACUCAAAUGCACCAUCAAAGGAGCCGGACAUCGAGAGCUUAAAGUGAAGUGGUUUAAGCUUACAGGCAAUUCAGAUUUGGGGUUUGUCUCCAACUCAGAUUCACUGUUGGUCUCUGAGGAUCUGAGUGACCAGGCUUCUCUCCAGUCAGAUGGAAAACUGCACACGUCUGUCCUCAGUGUAUGUCUGACUGUCACAGAAGAUCUGGCUACAUACCAGUGUGUGGUGCUGUGCAGGGGCGAGAUCAUCAGGAGAAAGACUACCGUCAGUGUGACUGUGGAGCCAUCUUUCCUGCAGAUCUCCAGCAUUCCUCAGAUCCCCAAAGUGGAGAAGCUUCUUGUUCUCUGUUGUCGGGUGGAAAACUUCUAUCCUCCAGAUAUCCACCUGGAGUGGUCCAGAAAUGAUGGCGAGCAGGUUCGCACCAUCACACACUUUGGCCCUUUCUCUGGUCAAAACGGCCUCUACAGUGUGUGGAGUAAGAUCCAGCUGACCAUGGCCAGAGAGGAUGAACGCGCGGUCUACACCUGCCGCGUUUACCACUCCAGCUUCCCUAAACCGGGCUACAAAGACGCUCUGUACCACAUUAACACUCAAGGAACUCCUCCGGAUGUCAGGUUUGUUCAUUCUGAGCCGUCACACCCUGUGCUGAAUGAGGAGUGUACACUGCACCUGUGGAUCAGAGACUUUUGUCCUGAAGACGUGUCAGUGUCUUGGACUAAGGAUGGAGAAACGGUUCUCUGUGGCGUCUUCAACACUCCGCCGAGUCUGAAUAUCAACGGCCUCUACUCCAUGUUUAGUUUUCUGAAACUCACUCCCACCAAAACUGACCUUGGCUCCAGGUUCAGAUGUCGGGUUGUCCACAGUGCUCAGCGGGAACCUGAAGAGAGGGACUUCAUACUGUCUGAUUGUGAUUUGGCAAACAGGUAACGGUGUCCUGAUCUUGUCACACUGUGAAAUGAUGGGACGACACUUUUAUGAGACAUCAGAGACAGAGAAUGGUCAGAAUGAAAAUCUCAUGUAGUCCGUGAAGUGUAACAUCUCUUU